rnacentral:rRNA from 1 species
UUGAGAUGUAAAAUUUAAUUAAAUAGUUUACUUGAGUAUUACGAGCUGUGUAACAUUGUUUUGCACAAGAAUCUUAAAACUCAAAAGACUUGGCGGUAUCUUAGGUCCUUCUAGGGGAACCUGUCCUAUAAUCGAUAGUCCACGAUUUAUCUUUCCUUUCCUUGAAAAUAUUCAGCUUGUAUACCGUCGUCGUCAGAUUACCUUUAAGAGUUAAAUGAGUUAUCAGUAGGAGUAGUACCUUUAGCACUUAGUUUAGUUUUAGCAACUUAAAACAAGUGUAAAUAGUGAUUUUCUAGAUGUCAGAUCAAGGUGCAGCUUAUGGAGAGGCAGAGAUGGGUUACAAUAAUUAUUUAUUAUUUACGGAUUUCUUAUUGAAAUUAUAAGAACUAAAGGCGGACUUAGAAGUAAUUAAUAACGGAGAAUAGAAAGUUCCGGUGAAAAUGGCACUAAGAUGUG